rnacentral:misc_RNA from 1 species
GAUGAAGAACGUAGCGAAAUGCGAUAAGUAAUGUGAAUUGCAGAAUUCAGUGAAUCAUCGAAUCUUUGAACGCACAUUGCGCCCCCUGGUAUUCCGGGGGCAUGCCUGUUCGAGCGUCAUUUCACCACUCAAGCCUCGCUUGGUAUUGGGCAUCGCGGUCCGCCGCGUGCCUCAAAUCGACCGGCUGGGUCUUCUGUCCCCUAAGCGUUGUGGAAACUAUUCGCUAAAGGGUGUUCGGGAGGCUACGCCGUAAAACAACCCCAUUUCUAAGGUUGACCUCGGAUCAGGUAGGGAUACCCGCUGAACUUAAGCAUAUCAAUAAGCGGAGGA